UCACUCCAUGUAGAAACCACACGAAGCAGCUAUAAGUUUUAUCCCUCAAUCGCUUAACUUUCAAGCCCAAUCAAAUCCCACAGUCCGGUAUCCUAAUCUUUAAUCUAGGAUACACUACAGAGAUCUGAAACCUAAGCUCUGAUACCACUUGUAACGACCCCACCUCCCCCUAAGGCGUACCAGAGGGUUCGGCGGGCCGCCUGCCCAGCUCUCGCUGGGACUCAGUCGUUCGCUACAGUCCUCAAUUAAAAAUUGAAAUAAAUCACAAGAAUAAAUAGGGCAUUGAUCCAAACUUAAAGCGGAACUUAUAUACAUUGCCAACCCAAAAGAGAAUAU
rnacentral:lncRNA from 1 species